GUUAUGCAUAACCCAUCUGAAGAACAUUCUUUAUAUAGAUGGCUGCAUGCUGCCCUUUUAUACCUGCAAGAAUGAGCAUUGCACUUACUGAAACAGGGAAGUCUACUGCCUGCCUUUCCACCCCUCUCUCUCUGUGGCUGUUUGCGGAACUGCAGAGGUACAUUCAGGAAACUGACUUAAAUGACAGCAGUGGAAGACUUCCUGCUUAGUUUAAGUCCUCUGUAGGGCCUAGCUGACAGUCUUCUGGAUCCUGCUCAACAGCCUCAUUUGGAUGAAACUGGAUACUGUGCCAAUUUUAUUCCAGCUCCAUUAAUGUAUGGCAACAAUACAGACAAUGCAUUGGCUGACAAAGAACUCCUACUCCUCCUCUGGAUUAAUGUGGCGAGGUUUUUGCAGUGGGGUGGCCUGCAAGAAGCCCAGCAGCUGCCCCAUGUCAGAUAACAGCCCUUGUAGGAGCAGCUCAGGCCUGAGCUGCAGCCCAUGGAGAGCGAUGUGCAGAGGGGCAGGAGAGCAGAGGGAGCUGCUGCCCGUGGGGAGCUGUGUGGAGCAGUGCCUGAAGGGUAGACUACAUGGUACAGAGCUUGGUACGGUGUUGGAACAGUGCUGGGAGUGCUGUAGCAUGUGGAAAGCCCAUGUGGGAUCAGACCAGAAAGGAUGACAUCUCAUGGGAGGGAUCCACAAAGAGCAGAAGUAGAGAGUGACCGUGGAGGAGCAGAAGAAAUGAAGCUUUAUGGAUUGACCAUAGCCCCCUUUCCCUGUUCCCCUGCGCUCAUUGAGGGAAGGAAGUAGAAGCUGAGCCUGAAAAAAGAAGGAAUUACACUGAGGAGCCCUGAGGUGGCCCGGAGAACAGGAAGGGACAGCAUUCAAAACUCCAGCAACCAGUGAAACAGGAAUUAAGAUAUUACUCACCGAAGCCUCUACAAAACCAGACUAAAAUGCAGUCGAAAGUCUUUGCCAACUCUGGAACUCAAAUGAAAAUCUGCUGUCUUAGAAGCAAUAGCAGCCAGAGGGAGUUGGGAAGGGAUCAAGGAAGAGUGGGGUGGGAGACAAAAUCUCAAAGACCACCGGGAUGAGAGGUAUUCACCACCUUAGACAUCAUCACGUGAAGGCAGGAUGCCCUGUGGAGCCUCGAUUGCCCAGCAGAAGUUACUGUGUUGAGCAGAGGGUUUCCUGGUCAGAGUUUGGAGGAGGCCAAGCUAGGCAGUCUGAGUCUGAACUGUUUGCUCUGUGAUAGCAGCUGUAGCUCUACUGAGUGGUAAAUGAGUGAGUAACGGCAAGCUGGCAGAGCUGAGGCUGCAGUAAGAGAGACACAUAUCUUGAUGGUUCAGGCAUGCCCUGUGUCAGCCGUGAAUUCUGCAGUUUGUGUUAAUAAGUGGAGCAUGCAAGUUGUCUGCUUGCCAUAAUGCGGGCGGCAGCCAGGCAGCCUGUGAAAAUGGAUGUUGUGGGGGCACCAAAACAAGGAGCUGAACAUACUAUCUCGAAAGAAAUCUCUACAGAAAGAAAAAGGGAGAUACCAUCCUUCAUGUCUGGGCUAGUGUGAAUUCAUCAGGCUUUGUGUUUGAAUGGGAUCCAGGUAUAGUGUACAAGUAACUCCUGUUUGCUCUGCUUGACCUAAAUCCAAGUUUUGCUUUGUCAGGUUCUGUCCGACGUGUGUUCUGUUUCCCUACUGCGUAGUAGCAGUGCUGGAGGCUGGGUGUUAGUAUUGGCAAUCUGAUGAUUCAAUCACACAAGUAUGAAGGCCAUAUUGUGGCAAUAGGGAGGAAGUGAGGGCAUGUAACCUUACCAUGUGUUUUGUGGUGGUCGAAAGUUUCAGUUCAUGCUGAAAGAAUUCUUACUUGCGAAGUUUCAAAAGGAUUAAAUGCAGACUGUCCUUGUAUUCUAGACAGCAGUCAGGCACCACAAGCAACCUGCUUCUCUGCCAACAAUGUGUUUGGGGAUAUAAUGCCUUGUUCAGUUAUUUAUAAGUAGUCAUUUUCUGGGAUCAACACCUACCAGAGCCCAGCCAUCCACUUCCACCGCCUCCCAUUCCUUGGCAGCCAUUCCUGCAGCAGGAAUGCAUAGGUGGUGAGAGUCCUCCAGCUGCCCUUCAGCUGUCCUCAUCUUCAGCCUCUCCGGUUUGGGGGUCUUGACUGGUAAGAGAAGCAUCUGUUUGAGACCCUGCCUUAAACAAUCACGCUGCCAUAAAUGAAUAAGUUUCCAUUGCUACGAGUCAGGAAGACUGCCAGCUCUUGGAUACCCACCUCUGGUUGGGCCACAAGAGGAAGUCACCUUGGCACAGAGUCUGUGGAGACACCAAAUCCCACUCCUGAUCAUAGAAUCACAAGGUUGGAAACGACCUAUAAGAUCAUCCAGUCCAACCAUCUCC